rnacentral:rRNA from 1 species
UACGUAGGGACCGAGCGUUGUCCGGAAUCAUUGGGCGUAAAGAGCGUGUAGGCGGCUCGCUAAGUCUUGCGUGAAAUCUCGGGGCUCAACCCCGAGCGGUCGUGAGAAACUGGCGGGCUAGAGUGCGGGAGAGGAGAGUGGAAUUCCUGGUGUAGCGGUGAAAUGCGCAGAUAUCAGGAAGAACACCCGUGGCGAAGGCGGGUCACUGGCCCGGUACUGACGCUGAGGCGCGAAAGCGUGGGGAGCAAACAGG